UGCUUCCUGGAAUGUUUGCAUGUGCGUUUCAUGUUCCUGGCCGAUGCUAUAACCUAAGGAAGUUGACUCUAUUGCUAUUGCGCAAGCUCGACAUGUAUCGAGAAGCCUACGGCAGUGAUGAUACAUCCGCCGUGUCCUAUUCGGCACACGGACGAAAAACGUAAAGCGGCAUUUUGGGAAGCAC
rnacentral:other from 2 species